UCAAACUUGGUCAUUUAGAGGAAGUAAAAGUCGUAACAAGGUUUCCGUAGGUGAACCUGCGGAAGGAUCAUUACCGAGUUAAGGGUACUCCGGUGCCCAACUCCCAACCCUGUGUUUACUAUACCCAUGUUGCUUCGGCGGGCCCGGUCGAGACCGUCUGGUCCCGACCCGCCGGAGGGGGGUUCACCCUCCCUCGGGCCAGCGUCCGUCGACGGCCAACCUCCAAAUUCUUAUUAAAACGUGGUCUGAAUUGUCUUUAAAAAAAAUAACUAAAAACUUUCAACAACGGAUCUCUUGGUUCUGGCAUCGAUGAAGAACGCAGC
rnacentral:misc_RNA from 1 species